GAAGCCCAGAACCUGUCUAGUCCAAAAAAGUACAAACAUUCCAACAUACUGACUAAAUUGGAAAUGAUUACAUUGUGAUUACAAAACAAACAUUUCAAACAUUCUGAUUAAAUUACAUCUCCAUAAUCACUCAGGAACAAAAACACUUAAAAAUUCCAAAUAAACACAUAACGAGACAUUAAUUAUCUUUAGGUUCAGGAAGUCCUAACACCCUAUAAUGAUUACGCUUGUCAUGGUUAGUUUCAAAUCCGCAUAUUGCACAUUUUCGGUGAGACUUACUACCCACUAAUCUUUCAACGACACUUUUUAAUCUUGAUUGUCUUUUCCGACCCUUUAUCUGAGAAGCAAUUGGUGGCAAAAACUCUGUUUCUU
rnacentral:lncRNA from 1 species